GGAAUCUUCGGCAAGUGGGGGCCAACCCUGACCGAGCAACGCCGCGUGAGUGAAGAAGGUUUUCGGAUCGUAAAGCUCUGUUGUAAGAGAAGAACGUGUGUGAGAGUGGAAAGUUCACACAGUGACGGUAACUUACCAGAAAGGGACGGCUAACUACGUACCAG
rnacentral:rRNA from 1 species